ACCACAUGGCAAAAGACUAUAAAAGGCAGCUGAAUCUUCUCCAUUUUGUCUUCAAUCCUGCUUCUUACAUCUGGAGGAACUUUGCUACAAACUGAAGCUCUGAACAAAGGACUGAAUGACCCAUCUAAGCUGUAGAUGUGAUCCAGGGGGACUUUCAAGCUGGCAAACUCACCAAUACUGCUAGGAACUUGAUAUAUGGACUUUAAAGUCUUUAUUGAAAACCAAGGAUCAGCUCUGGACACAAUGGUUCUAACUCAAAUCAUGUGGUGGUAAGAAGGAACUGGAGAGGUAGCUGGGUGGCAUCACCCCUUAUUCCCUUGAUGCAGAACAUGAAGAAAGCAAUCGUGAAGGUGUGGAGCAAUGGAUAUUGCUGGCAAGAAUCCUCUCUCAGAUUUGUAGAGCACAUGCAUAUCCCACAGUGGAAUACACACAGGGACCAGCACUUGAAAUGAAACUAAAUGUUUGUGUAGACAAAUCCAAAGUCAAGAAAUGCAAAUGCUAAGGUACUAACAGCAGUGGUAAUUCAGUUGUAUUGCACACAUUUAAUAUUUCCUGUGCUUUCUUUGGUUUAUAUAUGGCUGUUCCUAAUUGACCUGAUUUACCUUACCUCAAAUUGCUCCUCAAAACAAACUUCUUCCAUGAAAGCCUAUACUUCCUAAUGAAAGACUAUAUCAAAAUUCACAAGGGCAACCUUAAUUCUGACAUUUCCUAAAUUUUGCAUGCUUCACUUUGCAACCUUAAUGUUCUUUUAAUGUAGGUUUUUGAGAAUUGAUUUCCUAAUUGUUUUUAAAAGCAAACUGAAAACCUCACCAGAAAUUACAGCACAUGGAACCGUACUAACCUCCAGCUUGAUCAGCAGCAGGGUUUGGGACCUUUAGAUCCAUAGCACAAAACUCUACCACUUGAGCUGAUGGACUAACUAGUAGCAGUAGUAGGCUGUUAUCCUCUAGGUGGACUAGCCACUAAAAGAUGAUGAGACAGUUGUGAAACUGACUGUCAUUUGGGCAUUUGAUGACAGCUGAGGAAUGUAGAGAGACUCAAGACUAUUAGGCUCAAAUGCAGGUUUUGAAAGGGAGUGUUCUCCAGUAGUUAAUAGACCCUUCUUCCUCCCGAGAUACCCUCUUUCCCUGUGCAUCUAGCUACCCGCUUCGGACUCCUGCCCUCUUCUCCAUCUGGUCUUAUCUGCCUCCCCCAUCCAACCACUCUCCAAUGCCUCAUCUCCUUUCCCCUCUAUCAAUCCCCCACCCCCUGCUUCACCUAUAAUUAAAUGUUAAUUGAGGAAAAACUCCUAGGCCCAGAUCUGCAAACGUACUUAGGCACCUAAAACCCAGAUUGGGCUCCAAAAUACAAGGUUUAGGCACCUAUGUCCCAGUUUUAGCUCCAAUACAAUCCACAAAACUACCACCAAACUGUGUCAGUGCCUAAACUCACUCAGCACCUAAUUUUUCAGAGUAAAUGUUCCCUAGGUACCUAUGUUUGUGCCUCUGGGAUGCUCACUGCUGCCUCCCUCUAAGUACCCAGACACCUAAGCCCCAGAGUGAUUCAUAAACUGGGAAAAGAUAAGCGUUUGGUUGCAUAAGUCACUUGUGAGGCCCAAUCUGGUAGGUGUGCUCACAGGCUGCUUACCAGAUUGGGUCCCAUUCAAAAUCUGGCUGCUGGGGAAGGAGGUGGUGGCGGAGGAGGCUGCAGGAGCACCCACCUUCUAACAUCUUGCCCAGUGGUUAGUAAAUAGAGCUAUUCUCUCUUUCUUUGUCCCAAUGACUGUAGUCCAGUGGCUAGGGCACACACCGACGGGUGGGGGGGAACGACCCAGGAUGUAGUUCUGCUGCUUCAAUCACUUGUUCAUCACUUAACAACAGUGAAACAGCUUCAACAGAAGAGGUUGAAGACGACUCACCUCAGAAUAUCCCAUAAUUCAGUGGUUAGAGCACCCUCCUGAGAGCCUGGAGACCCUUGUCCAAAUCCCUUCUUUCCCUCCGGCAGGAAGGAGGGACUUGAGCCUGGGUCUCCCAUAUCUCAAGCAAAUCCGCUAGCCACUGGGCUAAAAGUUAUACGGUGGGCACCACCACUCCUCCCCAAUUCCCCCUUUUGUGUGGAGCACAGCAGGUGCCUAACUCAUUCCCAAAAGACACUUUAGGCCACCUGACUCCAGGCAGUUCAUGGAUCACUGAUCACUAAGCAGAAAUAGGUACCUAACUCUGUGAGUGAGGUGGGGCUUAGGACUCCUCGUCCCCCCCAGUUUGUAUUGCCCAUUGGCUAGUUUACGUGGCUCCCCACUUAGUGUGGUAGAUCACAUUCUAAGGCAGCCAUCUCUCCCCAUUCGUUAUAUAGGGAGCCUUGGUUUCUAACUUGGCUUUGUGGAUCGCAGUGCUGUUCCUGUGAUUUUCUGGGCAUCUAAGUGCCUGUGUGGAUCCCACCUCUUGUUCUUAGCAAUAGUUAAGAGAUCUGGUAAGUAACGUAAAUGUCCUGCACCUGCUGUUUCCAUUCUGGGCUGAUUCUCUUGCAGUAACUCCACACCAUGUUUUGCAUACACAGCUGUCUCAAGAGCUGAGAUACCUGAAGAAAUAAGAUGGUAUGUGAAGAUGGCUUUAAGUUGAACAAAGGCAAAACAAUUCAAACAGAAUAUAAGGAGAGAACAGAGAAGAGAUAUGAAUGCAGAAAAUGCAAGCCUGAAUCUGAACAACUCAUCUUCAACACUAUGUUAUUGCAGGAAUAUUUUUAAAAUUAAAUAGCAACAAGUAA